rnacentral:rRNA from 1 species
UACGUAGGGUGCAAGCGUUGUCCCGGAAUUAUUGGGCGUAAAGAGCUUGUAGGCGGUUUGUCGCGUCUGCUGUGAAAAUCCGGGGCUCAACUCCGGACUUGCAGUGGGUACGGGCGGACUUGAGUGUUGCAGGGGAGACUGGAAUUCCUGGUGUGCGGUGAAAUGCGCCAGAUAUCAGGAGGAACACCGGUGGCGAAGGCGGGUCUCUGGGCAACUACUGACGCUGAGGAGCGAAGCGUGGGGGAGCGAACG